UCCGAGUUGACCCCGGCAGUCUCCUGCGAGUCCCCGCCAUUACGCGCUGGCAACACAGGACAAGGGUUGCGCUCGUUGCGGGACUUAACCCAACAUCUCUGUCCUGUUCCGCAUAUGUCAAGCCUUGGUAAGGUUCUUCGCGUUGCGUCGAAUUAAGCCACAUGCUCCGCUGCUUGUGCGGGCCCCCGUCAAUUCCUUUGAGUUUUAAUCUUGCGACCGUACUCCCCAGGCGGAAUGCUUAAUGCGUUAGCUGCGCCACCGACGGGCAAGCCCGCCAACGGCUGGCAUUCAUCGUUUACGGCGUGGACUAC
rnacentral:misc_RNA from 1 species